UCGAGCGGACCGACGGGAGCUUGCUCCCUUAGGUCAGCGGCGGACGGGUGAGUAACACGUGGGUAACCUGCCUGUAAGACUGGGAUAACUCCGGGAAACCGGGGCUAAUACCGGAUGCUUGAUUGAACCGCAUGGUUCAAUCAUAAAAGGUGGCUUUCAGCUACCACUUGCAGAUGGACCCGCGGCGCAUUAGCUAGUUGGUGAGGUAACGGCUCACCAAGGCGACGAUGCGUAGCCGACCUGAGAGGGUGAUCGGCCACACUGGGACUGAGACACGGCCCAGACUCCUACGGGAGGCAGCAGUAGGGAAUCUUCCGCAAUGGACGAAAGUCUGACGGAGCAACGCCGCGUGAGUGAUGAAGGUUUUCGGAUCGUAAAACUCUGUUGUUAGGGAAGAACAAGUACCGUUCGAAUAGGGCGGUACCUUGACGGUACCUAACCAGAAAGCCACGGCUAACUACGUGCCAGCAGCCGCGGUAAUACGUAGGUGGCAAGCGUUGUCCGGAAUUAUUGGGCGUAAAGCGCGCGCAGGCGGUUUCUUAAGUCUGAUGUGAAAGCCCCCGGCUCAACCGGGGAGGGUCAUUGGAAACUGGGGAACUUGAGUGCAGAAGAGGAGAGUGGAAUUCCACGUGUAGCGGUGAAAUGCGUAGAGAUGUGGAGGAACACCAGUGGCGAAGGCGACUCUCUGGUCUGUAACUGACGCUGAGGCGCGAAAGCGUGGGGGAGCGAACAGGAUUAGAUACCCUGGUAGUCCACGCCGUAAACGAUGAGUGCUAAGUGUUAGAGGGUUUCCGCCCUUUAGUGCUGCAGCAAACGCAUUAAGCACUCCGCCUGGGGAGUACGGUCGCAAGACUGAACUCAAAGGAAUUGACGGGGGCCCGCACAAGCGGUGGAGCAUGUGGUUUAAUUCGAAGCAACGCGAAGAA
rnacentral:rRNA from 1 species